AACGCACAUUGCGCCCGCCAGUAUUCUGGCGGGCAUGCCUGUUCGAGCGUCAUUGCAACCCCUCAGGCCCUGCCUGGCGUUGGAGGACUGCGCUACGCAGCCUCCCAAAGCAAGCGGCGGCGGCGCCCCAAAUCCGAACGCAGUAGUUACCUCUCGUUCUGGGUGCUGGGACGGCGUCCGGCCGGAAAACCCCCAUCUAUAUCGUGGUUGACCUCGAAUCAGGUAGGAAUACCCGCUGAACUUAA
rnacentral:misc_RNA from 2 species